AAUUUUAUAGUUAAGUUUAUAAUAGUAAAUUGCAAAUUUACAGUAAUUUUUCAUUUUUAAAAUUU
rnacentral:tRNA from 1 species